rnacentral:rRNA from 1 species
UGCCAGCCGCCGCGGUAAUACGGAGGGUGCAAGCGUUGUUCGGAUUUACUGGGCGUAAAGGGCGCGUAGGCGGUCUGUUAAGCUAGAGGUGAAAUCCCGGGGCUCAACCCCGGAACUGCUUCUGGAACUGGCAGACUAGAGAUAGGUAGAGGCAGGUGGAAUUCCAGGUGUAGAGGUGAAAUUCGUAGAUAUUACACGGAAGGCCGGAGCCGAAGGGGGCUCUCUGGGACACAACUGACGCUGAGGAACGAAAGCGUGGGGAGCAAACAGGAUUAGAUA